rnacentral:rRNA from 1 species
AACGAACGCUGGCGGCAGGCUUAACACAUGCAAGUCGAGCGCCCCGCAAGGGGAGCGGCAGACGGGUGAGUAACGCGUGGGAACCUACCCUUUCCUGCGGAAUAGCUCCGGGAAACUGGAAUUAAUACCGCAUACGCCCUUCGGGGCAGGAUUUAUCGGGGAAGGAUGGGCCCGCGUUGGAUUAGCUAGUUGGUGGGGUAAAGGCCUACCAAGGCGACGAUCCAUGGCUGGGCUGAGAGGAUGAUCAGCCACAUUGGGACUGAGACACGGCCCAAACUCCUACGGGAGGCAGCAGUGGGGAAUAUUGGACAAUGGGCGCAAGCCUGAUCCAGCCAUGCCGCGUGAGUGAUGAAGGUCUUAGGAUUGUAAAGCUCUUUCACCGGGGACGAUAAUGACGGUACCCGGAGAAGAAGCCCCGGCUAACUUCGUGCCAGCAGCCGCCGUAACAC